GUGGGGAAUAUUGGACAAUGGGGGGAACCCUGAUCCAGCCAUGCCGCGUGUGUGAAGAAGGUCUUCGGAUUGUAAAGCACUUUAAGUUGGGAGGAAGGGCAGUAAGUUAAUACCUUGCUGUUUUGACGUUACCGACAGAAUAAGCACCGGCUAACUUCGUGCCAGCAGCCGCGGUAAUACGAAGGGUGCAAGCGUUAAUCGGAAUUACUGGGCGUAAAGAGCGCGUAGGUGGUUUUGUAAGUUGAAGGUGAAAUCCCCGGGCUCAACCUGGGAACUGCGUCGAAAACUGCAUGACUAGAGUAGGGUAGAGGGUAGUGGAAUUUCCUGUGUAGCGGGGAAAUGCGUAGAUAUAGGAAGGAACACCGGUGGGGAAGGCGACUACCUGGACUAAUACUGACACUGAGGUGCGAAAGCGUGGGGAGCAAACAGGAUUAGAUACCCGAGUAGUCC
rnacentral:rRNA from 1 species